AUGGGUGUUCGCCCGCCGGCAGAAAUACCUUACGAGGUCCAAUCGAGGAAUUCCUCGGAGUCUUUGUUGUCUACGGAUCUGGAACCCACGGGAAUCAGAUUAGGUCUCUGCGCGGGUCCUCCAAUAAAAGGAUCGCCGUGUGUAACCCUAAACGAUCGUCAUCGUGUUUGGCUAAAACCUUCGACACCUAAAUCUCGUUCGUCUCUGUCGUCCCCUGCCAUGGCGCAUCUGCUGUCUGUUGCUGGUGAUCGGAGUGAUCAAGGCGGCGCUGCUGAGGCACCUACCCUCCCGAAGUCAUCUGGUGGCGGCGUUCUUGUGCGGGUGCGUGAAAACGAAAAGAGGCGGGUAGCGCCUGAAGCUUCUGAACCGCAUAGUGAUGCGACCAAUGAUAAUGGUGGGUUUGUGGAUAUGGAAGAUGUGGCAGCGGUGGAACUAGACUCUGAUGAUGAAUGGGAGGAAGAUGAGGCGCAGAAAAAGGAGUGGCACCUCCUUGCUGUCUAUCGUGAACCGAGGAAGCCUAACAUGAAGGCCAUGUUCAAACACUUUGAAGGUGUCUGGCAGUUGAGAACGGGGGUGACUGUAACCCCUUGGCAGAAGAAUUACUUUGUGGUUACCCUAUUCUCUGUGGGUGAUUACGAGUUUGUGGCCCGAGGUGGGCCGUGGAUCUAUGAAACUCACGCACUUCUAGUUGCGCCGUUCAAUGGGGAUGCUCGUCCUUCUGAAUCUGUGCUGGAUGCAGUCCCUGUGUGGGUUCAGAUCUAUGAUGUUCCAUGGAAGAAGCAGAACGAGGCUACUGGUAUUGCCUUGGGGUCUACGUUAGGGGAAGUGUUACAGGUUGAUGUACCCCCUACUGGAUCAAACCUUAAUGAAUUUCUAAGGGUACGCAUCAAGUUACCAUACAGUAGAAGGUUGCAGCACGAGAUCAUCCCAAUAAAGAAUGGCUGA
rnacentral:rRNA from 1 species